AUAAAUUGGGAGUUUGAGAUUUGCAGAUACUAAUAUAUAUAAAAUAGAUAAGCAACAAGUUCAUACUGGAAAAGUGAGUUUUUGCGUACCUACAGUAACCAGAGAAUGAUUCUUCCUGGUGGUGUUGUAUGCAUUUGAUGCUUGACUGCAGAAAUGUGGUCAAGUCAACCUCAUAUUGGGGGGAGGAGACCCUGGCCCACCCAUGUCGUAAAGGUAGGGUGCAGGAAAUAACAAGGGGUCAGAGCUUCCUCCCUGAUCAGGAGGCCUUGGAGGACCACACCUGUGAGUCUUCAGAAUCCACCUGGAGCGGCUCAGGCCUCAUAGUUUCACCAAAUACCUGGACUGGUCCAAACAUGUCCAGAGGCCUUCUCCUUUGGCCCACAGGCACACCUCUAAACUAUUUGUCCUCAGAAUUUCCAGCUUUAUGAAUGGACUGGCUCCUCCAAAUUGACUUCAUGAAUUGAAAAUGAUUGGAAGUGAGUCUCUUAAUUUGACUGCCCUAAGUAGGGCUGCCAUAUAGGGUCUAGGCCCUGGCGAGAAAAAGUAGAGGCAGGGGUUUGUUAGCUAAAAGUACUUAUAUGAGAUCUGUAUGAAUAUGCAGCCUAGUUACAUCCUAGUUUCCCUUCCAGGCUGACAUCUUCUGUCUUGGUGGCCCCAGCCCUGGUUCUGGGCCAUCCUAUUUUAGCUGGAAUUCCCAAGUUUUUUUUUUUUUCAUCUUCUUCUUUAAAAAGACGUCAGUCCUUACUGGAUAUGGUCAAGGAUUUGCUAACUCUCCAUAGUAAGUUUCUUCUCGAUUGUCCUGGAUGGAAGACCUGAGCUUCAAAAGAUGAAUAUAUCCCAUAACUAUGCUUCUGGUUGGAGAACACCUAGCUAGGAGAGUGCUGGUUCCAGGAAGUGGAUGAGGCUCCAUGUCCAAGUAUCCAAUUCACUCCCUACCAGAAAAAAAAGGAGAAGAAGAAGAAAAUGAGUUGAGUUUGCCAGGUAAGACAAGCUGCAAUAAAGGCAUACCUGACCUCCCAUUACAGGGCAACGAAUGACCUCUGCCAGAGCGAGCACUGGCUUACCUCCUGGAAGAAGAAGGGUCCAGGGGUCAGACCCUUCCAGGGAAUGGAAUAGAAGUACCAAGCCAUCACUCAAACAGCAACCUCGGCUGGAAUCCAGCCUCCCCAAGAUUCUGCUACAGUGGAAGAGAGCCAGGGAAGCUGUCAGCUACUGUGGCUUAGUCCCACUGCUUCCAGAAAGGAUUGUUCAGGCCUAGAAUGGUGAAGAAGACUCCAGCCCAGGCAUGGUCUGAGUGACAGCACGCCAUGACACAUGCCCACAUUGGCGCAACUACAAUACAGCUGAUGGACGUGGCACCUGGCCUCCACUUGCCAGCAGGGCCCCCAAGAAGAAGCUGAACUAUCUCUAGCUAUCUCAGGAUCGAUGCAGAAGAUGUUACUUUUAUUGCCACAGUGUCUGAGGAACAGUACAGAAGGUACAUAAAGUGUACUGGAGAGGACCCAGAUCAAAUUCAUCAAUCUGAAAGUUGAUUUCUUCCAGGCUGAAGAUCUAUGUGUAUAGUUUCAGUGCAGCUUCUGCAACCCCAGUGCAUCCAGCCAUACCAAUUUCAUGUUCACAGCACACUCUACUAGCCACCCCCAGGAUCAUGCAAAUACAUUUCCAGUCAUUUCUGGAACCAGCUGAAAGAUGGGGAUUGUCUAUGCAGUAAACAAGUUUCAAAUGAAAAGAGAUAAAAAUUACUUUCAAAAUGUAUCAAGUGUCAACAGUGUAACAUCUUCAUUGAAAGUGUCUGUAGUCGCUUUGUAGCUCUACAUUGAUCCCAGCUGUUCGGUGGCCCAGGCCUCUUUUACAUUCACUACACCACAAAGCACCUCAAAGCACAGGCAAGAUUAUAGGUAGAUGAGAUACUGCUAAAAACAUAAAAUCCCAUCAAGUUCGCCAGUAACCAUCGCAUGCCCCUAUUAAAAUCACCAGGCAAAGUAACCCUAACACUAUGGAAUGUUUUUAAUUUAAAGUACGUUAAAACAUUUAAUUUAAUUACAUUAAAAUUACGUUAAAGCCCAAUUCCUACCUCACCAUUUCAAAUGGAAAUUCCUUCACUGACUGUUUUAACAAAAAUUAUCUCUAAAGAAAAGUUAUCUUGAUUAAAGGACAAAUUGCAUCAUAGAAACUAUUUAUAAGCACGUUGCUACUUGCCAAGCUAUCUUAUGAUUAAAAACUCAGUUCUGCAUUUUUGUAUUAUCUGUAUUUUCUGAAUAUGAAUCUUUUAUACAACUUUAUACUUUCAUUGAGCUGAAUUGGGCACGAUUGCACAAUUGUAUGCUGAGUUGUAAACAAAACAGCAUUUUCAUAUUUGCUCUAUUCAGCCAUAAAGCUAACAUAACGUUUGACAAUUCUACCCCGAAAGUGAUUUAUUGAUAAUUCACUUCCCCUAAAAUAAUAAAUGUCCUGAAUCACUACUUACA